AAUGAAACUCUGGUUAGGUGGUUUUUGUACAUACAGUGCGGAAAUUGCUUGCAGUUGGCAUCGGUGUUCCCAAAAGCUGAGAAAAUCCAAAGGGAUGCAGAACUUCAGUGUCAAUACUCAAUACACAGAUUGUAACAGCUAUAAUCUACAGUUCAUUGUGGGAGACCCUCAAUGUGUCGUCAACAUUAAAUCUACAAUUAAUACAUGAAAGGAUUUUGAAGGUGUUCAAUGCUGAAAAAUUAAAGAACUACGGGUAUUUGUGUAUGCUGAUUGGCAAA